rnacentral:rRNA from 1 species
UACAGAGGUCUCAAGCGUUGUUCGGAUUCAUUGGGCGUAAAGGGUGUGUAGGUGGCGCGCUAAGUCGGGUGUGAAAUUUCGGAGCUUAACUCCGAAACUGCAUUCGAUACUGGCGUGCUUGAGGACUGGAGAGGAGACUGGAAUUCAUGGUGUAGCGGUGAAAUGCGUAGAUAUCUGGAGGAACACCGGUGGCGAAGGCGGCAUCCUGGACCGGUAUUGACGCUGAGGCGCGAAAGCCAGGGGAGCAAACGGG